rnacentral:rRNA from 1 species
UACGUAGGGUGCGAGCGUUGUCCGGAAUUAUUGGGCGUAAAGAGCUCGUAGGCGGUCUGUCGCGUCGGAUGUGAAAACCCAGGGCUCAACCCUGGGCCUGCAUUCGAUACGGGCAGACUAGAGUUCGGUAGGGGAGACUGGAAUUCCUGGUGUAGCGGUGAAAUGCGCAGAUAUCAGGAGGAACACCGGUGGCGAAGGCGGAUCUCUGGGCCGAUACUGACGCUGAGGAGCGAAAGCGUGGGGAGCGAACAGG